GAUGAACGCUAGCGGCAGGCCUAAUACAUGCAAGUCGAACGGUGUCUUCGGACAUAGUGGCGCACGGGUGCGUAACACGUAUGCAACCUACCUUACAUUGGGGGACAGCCUUUCGAAAGGGAGAUUAAUACCGCAUAAGACAGUAACUAGGCAUCUAGUAGCUGUUAAAGAUUUAUCGAUGUAAGCUGGGCAUGCGUCCAAUUAGCUAGUUGGGGAGGUAACGGCUCACGAAGGCAAUGAUUGGUAGGGGAACUGAGAGGUCAAUCCCCCACACUGGCACUGAGAUACGGGCCAGACUCCUACGGGAGGCAGAAGUAGGGAAUAUUGGGCAAUGGACGCAAGUCUGACCCAGCCAUGCCGCGUGCAGGAUGAAGGCGUUAUGCGUUGUAAACUGCUUUUAUACAGGAAGAAACGACUCUUGCGAGAGGCAUUGACGGUACUGUAUGAAUAAGCACCGGCUAGCUCCGUGCCAGCCGCCGCCGUAAAAC
rnacentral:rRNA from 1 species